rnacentral:rRNA from 1 species
CAGCAGCCGCGGGAAUACAGAGGGUGCGAGCGUUAAUCGGAUUUACUGGGCGUAAAGCGUGCGUAGGCGGCUUUUUAAGUCGGAUGUGAAAUCCCUGAGCUUAACUUAGGAAUUGCAUUCGAUACUGGGAAGCUAGAGUAUGGGAGAGGAUGGUAGAAUUCCAGGUGUAGCGGUGAAAUGCGUAGAGAUCUGGAGGAAUACCGAUGGCGAAGGCAGCCAUCUGGCCUAAUACUGACGCUGAGGUACGAAAGCAUGGGGAGCAAACAGGAUUAGAUACCCCCGUAGUCCCUGUCUCUUAUAU